rnacentral:ncRNA from 1 species
AGGCACAGUCAGACGGAAACCCAUCGACUGUCACCAGAUGCUGCAUCACCUGAUCACUGAUGGCUCAACGGUAUCCGGCGGUACAACUGAAUACUUGUAGCUGCCUUUUGAGCGGGUUGGCUGCAAUCCGAAACGGAGAGAUUCGUUAGGACUGCGGUUGGUCUUUUGCACCCAUUAUGCGGCUAUCUU